CAGACAAUGACAAGACAUUUAAUAAGGUCAGCAGCCAUGGUGAUGGGGAAGGCGUUUAUUUGAGAGGCAGCUAAUAACAAUGAACGAUUAUGGAAAUAAGAGAAAAUUCAGAGGACUGAAGAUUGGCACACGGUAGACAAUUUAGCAACGUGUCAAAUGCUUCAAAGAUGUGCAUAACCUGCAUCAAGUGUCAUACUAGUCAUGUGUCAUUUCCCUGAGGCAUGCAACUGAGAGGUCCUUGAUUAGUGCAUGGAAGCCCCUGCAUCCUAAACUUAACACGUGAUCCUGGUUAAAUGGAAGGCUUAAAGAACUUGAAAGGUUUUAAAAGAUGAUCUGUACCUCUGGCAGAGUGAAUACAGUGACAAUGACAAGUAAAGGCAACAAUUUGGGGAUGAACUUUGGCUCCGCUACUCAGGUAGACAGGACUUUGACUUCUUGGUGCCUCAGUUUCUUCUUGUGUCAAACUCGAAAGGAUACCUAUUAAACAGGAUUGUAGUAAGGAUUCAGUAUGACAAGCCACAUAAAAUUCUUGGCAUGGUGCCUGACACACAGAAGUUCUAUGCAACCUACCUCUUAUUACCAAUGGCAAGAAUAUCAUUCUGAAGAGUGCAAAGCUAUUUUAGGCACAUAUAUGGUUGUAUAUUCACAUCAGCCCUCCAAGUUGCAGAUUAUUAGCCCCAUUUACAGACGUGGAAACCAAAGCUUCAACAGGUUAAGAAAUAAGCUCCGCGCCAGGCGCGGUAGCUCA